rnacentral:rRNA from 1 species
CGGCCGUAAACUAUGCGCGUUAGGUGUAUCGGUGACCACGAGUUACCGAGGUGCCGAAGGGAAACCGUGAAACGUGCCGCCUGGGAAGUACGGUCGCAAGGCUGAAUCUUAAAGGAAUUGGCGGGGGGAGGCACCACAACAGGUGGAGCCUGCGGGUUUAAUUUGGACUCAACGCCGGACAACUCACCGGGGACGGACAGCAAUAUGUAGGCCAGGCUGAAGACCUUGCCUGAAUCGCUGAGAGGAGGUGCAUGGCGUAGACGUCU